rnacentral:rRNA from 1 species
CGCGAAUGGCUCAUUACAACAGCUAUAAUUUACUUGAUCUUGACACAAUCCUACUUGGAUAACUGUGGUAAUUCUAGAGCUAAUACAUGCAUUAAAGCUCUGACCUCACGGGAAGAGUGCAUUUAUUAGAACAAAACCAAGCGGCUUCGGCUGUUUCUGGUUGACUCAUAGUAACUGAGCUGAUCGCAUGGUCUUGCACCGGCGACGUGUCUUUCGAGUAUCUGCCGUAUCAACUUUCGAUGGUAGUGUAUCUGACUACCAUGGUGAUCACGCGUAACGGAGAAUAAGGGUUCGACUCCGGAGAGUUCGCCUGAGAAAUCGCGAACACAUCUAAGGAAGGCAGCAGGCGCGAAAAUUACCCACUCUCAGCACGAGGAGGUAGUGACGAAAAAUAACGAGACCGUUCUCUUAUGAGGCCGGUCAUCGGAAUGGGUACAAUUUAAACCCUUUAACGAGUAUCUAUGAGAGGGCAAGUCUGGUGCCAGCAGCCGCGGUAAUUCCAGCU